UCCACGCCGCGGAUCGGCCAUGUGCCGGCAAUCCGCCGCAUCCCCGACAUCUACAAGGCACCCCGAGCCCCCCCCCCCCCCCCCCCCCCCCCCCCCCCCCCCCCCCCCCCCCCCCCCCCCCCCCCCCCCCCCCCCCCCCCCCCCCCCCCCCCCGGCGAACCCUAGCGCCAUUCAUUCCCUCCCCGCGCCGCUUCUCUUCUCUCCCAUGCAAAUCCGAGCGUAGCCGUCGCCAUGGAUUUGCCGCCGGCGUAGCCACCGUGCUCCCCUCGCCACUCUACCUUGUCCAGAAGACGUAGUCCAUCGUCCUCGACCUCUACGUGGACUGCCUCGAGCUGGAACGCCAAGACGACGCCGCAUCCGUCGAUCCCCUCCGUCGGCAACCGCCGCUGCUCGUCUUCGAUUCAACCGUCUCCGAGCAGAUCCGGCGUCCCCGAGCCCUCCACGAACUUCUACGGACCAUGGCAGGUGGACCGUUGCUGGGAAGAUGAGGAAAUCAUGACUGCAGUCGAGUUUAGACGAUGCCUUCACAUUGUUCAGACAUGGAUAUUGUCGAGGUCGAUUUAGAGGAUGUGUAUAUUUAGACGACCAUAUAGACAAGCUGUUGGACGCCUGUUUUGGGCUCACGUCGUGGAAAACAAGUAUAAACAUCCAUAUAGACAAGCUAUUGGAGAUGCUCUAAUUCCUUCUUGUACUAAGGUACGCCACUUUGGGUCUAUUACAUGCGGCCCCACUAGGUAAAUUGAUUACUAAAAUAAUUUUA